GAUGAACGCUCGCUACAGGCUUAACACAUGCAAGUCGAGGGGAAACGACAUCGAAAGCUUGCUUUUGAUGUGCGUCGACCGGCGCACGGGUGAGUAACGCGUAUCCAACCUGCCCAUCACUUGGGGAUAACCUUGCGAAAGUAAGACUAAUACCCAAUGAUAUCUCUAGAAGACAUCUGAAAGAGAUUAAAGAUUUAUCGGUGAUGGAUGGGGAUGCGUCUGAUUAGCUUGUUGGCGGGGUAACGGCCCACCAAGGCAACGAUCAGUAGGGGUUCUGAGAGGAAGGUCCCCCACAUUGGAACUGAGACACGGUCCAAACUCCUACGGGAGGCAGCAGUGAGGAAUAUUGGUCAAUGGGCGAGAGCCUGAACCAGCCAAGUAGCGUGCAGGAAGACGGCCCUAUGGGUUGUAAACUGCUUUUAUAAGGGAAUAAAGUGAGAGUCGUGACUCUUUUUGUAUGUACCUUAUGAAUAAGGACCGGCUAAUUCCGUG
rnacentral:rRNA from 1 species